rnacentral:rRNA from 1 species
GGUCAAGCGAAUAAGUGCAUGUGGUGGAUGCCUUGGCGAUCACAGGCGAUGAAGGACGUAGUAGCUUGCGAAAAGCUGCGGGGAGCUGGCAAACGAGCUUUGAUCCGCAGAUGUCCGAAUGGGGAAACCCGGCCCGUAUGGGUCAUCCCUUGCUGAAUACAUAGGCAAGGGAGGCGAACGCAGUGAACUGAAACAUCUAAGUAGCUGCAGGAAAAGAAAUCAACCGAGAUUCCCAAAGUAGUGGCGAGCGAAAUGGGAACAGCCUUGUACUCUUUAGCAGUAUUGUUAGCGGAACGGAAUGGAAAGUCCGGCCAUAGUGGGUGAUAGCCCCGUACGCGAAAACAGUAUUGUGGAACUAGGUGUACGACAAGUAGGGCGGGACACGUGAAAUCCUGUCUGAAGAUGGGGGGGACCAUCCUCCAAGGCUAAAUACUCGUGAUCGACCGAUAGUGAACCAGUACCGUGUGGGAAAGGCGAAAGAACCCGGGAGGGGAGUGAAAUAGAUCUGAAACCGCAUGCAUACAAACAGUCGGAGCCUGGAAACGGGUGACGGCGUACCUUUUGUAUAAUGGGUCAGCGACUUACAUUCAGUGGCAAGCUUAACCGAUUAGGGAAGGCGUAGCGAAAGCGAGUCCGAAUAGGGCGUUCAGUCGCUGGGUGUAGACCCGAAACCAAGUGAUCUAUCCAUGGCCAGGUUGAAGGUGCGGUAACACGUACUGGAGGACCGAACCCACUAACGUUGAAAAGUUAGGGGAUGAGCUGUGGAUAGGGGUGAAAGGCUAAACAAACUUGGAAAUAGCUGGUUCUCUCCGAAAACUAUUUAGGUAGUGCCUCGUGUCUCACCUUCGGGGGUAGAGCACUGUCAUGGUUGGGGGGUCUAUUGCUGAUUACCCCGCCAUAGCAAACUCCGAUACCGAAGAGUGCAAUCACGGGAGACAGACAUCGGGUGCUAACGUCCGGUGUCAAGAGGGAAACAACCCAGACCGCCAGCUAAGGUCCCUAAGAUUGGCUAAGUGGGAAACGAAGUGGGAAGGCUAAAACAGUCAGGAGGUUGGCUUAGAAGCAGCCCCCUUUAAAGAAAGCGUAAUAGCUCACUGAUCGAGUCGUCCUGCGCGGAAGAUGUAACGGGGCUAAGCCAGUCACCGAAGCUGCGGAUGCACGUAAGUGCAUGGUAGGAGAGCGUUCUGUAAGCCUGUGAAGGUGUCUUGUAAAGGAUGCUGGAGGUAUCAGAAGUGCGAAUGCUGACAUGAGUAGCGAUAAAGGGGGUGAAAGGCCCCCUCGCCGUAAGCCCAAGGUUUCCUACGCAACGUUCAUCGGCGUAGGGUGAGUCGGCCCCUAAGGCGAGGCAGAGAUGCGUAGCUGAUGGGAAGCAGGUUAAUAUUCCUGCACCGUCGUAUGAUGCGAUGGGGGGACGGAUCGCGGAAGGUUGUCCGGGUGUUGGAAGUCCCGGGUCCCUACAUUGGAGAUGGCACUUAGGCAAAUCCGGGUGCGUGAUUCAAGGGUGUGGGGCGAGCGACGUUAGGUCGCGAAGCAAUUGGAAGUGGUUCCAAGAAAAGCCUCUAAGCUUCAGUCAUACGAGACCGUACCGCAAACCGACACAGGUGGGCGAGAUGAGUAUUCUAAGGCGCUUGAGAGAACUCGGGAGAAGGAACUCGGCAAAUUGGUACCGUAACUUCGGGAUAAGGUACGCCCUUGUAGUUUGACUGGCUCGCGCCAGAAGGAUGAAGGGGUUGCAAUAAAAUGGUGGCUGCGACUGUUUAAUAAAAACACAGCACUCUGCAAACACGAAAGUGGAGGUAUAGGGUGUGACGCCUGCCCGGUGCGGAAGAUUAAAUGAUGGGGUGCAAGCUCUUGAUUGAAGUCCCGGGUAAACGGCGGCCGUAACUAUAACGGUCCUAAGGUAGCGAAAUUCCUUGUCGGGUAAGUUCCGACCUGCACGAAUGGCGUAACGAUGGCCACACUGUCUCCUCCCGAGACUCAGCGAAGUUGAAGUGUUUGUGAUGAUGCAAUCUCCCCGCGGCUAGACGGAAAGACCCCAUGAACCUUUACUGUAGCUUUGCAUUGGACUUUGAACCGAUCUGUGUAGGAUAGGUGGGAGGCUUUGAAACCGGGACGCUAGUUUCGGUGGAGCCGACCUUGAAAUACCACCCUGGUUUGUUUGAGGUUCUAACCUUGGCCCGUGAAUCCGGGUCGGGGACAGUGCAUGGUAGGCAGUUUGACUGGGGCGGUCUCCUCCCAAAGUGUAACGGAGGAGUUCGAAGGUACGCUUGGUACGGUCGGACAUCGUACCUAAAGUGCAAUGGCAAAAGCGUGCUUAACUGCGAGACCGACAAGUCGAGCAGGUGCGAAAGCAGGACAUAGUGAUCCGGUGGUUCUGUAUGGAAGGGCCAUCGCUCAACGGAUAAAAGGUACUCUGGGGAUAACAGGCUGAUACCGCCCAAGAGUUCAUAUCGACGGCGGUGUUUGGCACCUCGAUGUCGGCUCAUCUCAUCCUGGGGCUGUAGCCGGUCCCAAGGGUAUGGCUGUUCGCCAUUUAAAGAGGUACGUGAGCUGGGUUUAAAACGUCGUGAGACAGUUUGGUCCCUAUCUGCCGUGGGCGUUGGAAUCUUGACGGGGGCUGCUCCUAGUACGAGAGGACCGGAGUGGACGUACCGCUGGUGUACCUGUUGUCUCGCCAGAGGCAUCGCAGGGUAGCUAUGUACGGAAGAGAUAACCGCUGAAAGCAUCUAAGCGGGAAACUCGCCUGAAGAUGAGGAUUCCCUGGAGACUUGAUCUCCCUGAAGGGUCGUUCGAGACCAGGACGUUGAUAGGCUGGGUGUGGAAGCGCAGUAAUGCGUUCAGCUAACCAGUACUAAUUGCCCGUGCGGCUUGAUCCU